GACGAACGCUGGCGGCGUGCCUAAUACAUGCAAGUAGAACGCUGAAGAGAGGAGCUUGCUCUUCUUGGAUGAGUUGCGAACGGGUGAGUAACGCGUAGGUAACCUGCCUGGUAGCGGGGGAUAACUAUUGGAAACGAUAGCUAAUACCGCAUAAAAUUGAUUAUUGCAUGAUAAUUAAUUGAAAGAUGCAACUGCAUCACUACCAGAUGGACCUGCGUUGUAUUAGCUAGUUGGUGAGGUAACGGCUCACCAAGGCGACGAUACAUAGCCGACCUGAGAGGGUGGGCGGCCACACUGGGACUGAGACACGGCCCAGACUCCUACGGGAGGCAGCAGUAGGGAAUCUUCGGCAAGGGGGGGAACCCUGACCGAGCAACGCCGCGUGAGUGAAGAAGGUUGUCGGAUCGUAAAGCUCUGUUGUAAGAGAAGAACGGGUGUGAGAGUGGAAAGUUCACACUGUGACGGUAUCUUACCAGAAAGGGACGGCUAACUACGUG
rnacentral:rRNA from 1 species